UGUGUAAUCUAAUGCUAUCCACAUGGGUUUGUUAUGUAUGCUCUGAUGUUCACUGUGCUUUAUGAAAAAGUACUGUUUGCUGACUUUUGACUUUCCGGUCCUUUUGGUUGUACCGCUUUUUUUACCAGCACUGACCAUGCCUACAGUAUAUGGCACACAUACAAAGAACAAAUGGCAUUCGCCCCAAACCAAACCCAACAUCAUUCGGUGUUAAAGAGACAGGUUGAUAUCAUAACAUAGAAUAAUUCCUCUAAAUGUAUUCAUGUUUUAGUAAGCAAAAGCUGCAUUAAACAACACAAACUAAAGUGUAAUUUAAGUGUAAUUAUGAUCAAUAUAACUCAAUUCAAAUCUAAGAAACAUGCUCAUUAAAGGUGAAAAGGACAAAAUUGUGACCAAAGCAAGUGUAAAUCUAUAUUCUUGCAAUGUGAAUACGCCUUAUAGGCUUAUUAUUAUUAUGCUUAUUUGGCUUCUUGGUCCGAUCAAAGACUCAGAGUUCAGAUAAAACCAAGAUGGGCCAGUAGGGUAUCAUACAUGUGAGAGUGUUUACAGUGUGUGUGUGUGUGUUGUCACUGCUCAUAGUACAACAUUCAAGCAUCACUAGGAGUGAAUUUGAAAUGCGAUGAAGAGUGAGAUUGUGAUGUUUUUUUGUUGAGAAACUAUAUUUAAGCUACAUUUAGUAUAUGUAGAUAUUGCUUUUUAAAAAGUAUUUAUUUUAAGAAAUGUGAACAGAUUCAGAUAUAUUGUGUUGAGUGGUUGCUUACACAUACAGUACAGUACAUACCAGUGUUAACCUAAAUAUGAUAUGUGUCAUCAGGGUACAACAAAAACAAUAAAUCUCAUUCUCCAUUCC